rnacentral:sRNA from 1 species
CCGUUUCAGAAAGAAAUUUUUACAUAUCUGGUAGAAGGAUUCAAAGUAUCUAUUGGUUCAAGUAAAGCCAGUGGUUCCAAGCAGCAAUGGACUAAAAUUCUGUGGUCUUGUAAGGAGACCUUCCGAAUGCAGCUUGGGAGACUACUAGUGCAUAUUUUGUCGCCAGCCCACACUGCACAAGAGAGAAAGCAAAUUUUUGAAAUAGUUCAUGAACCAAAUCAUCAGGAAAUACUACGAGACUGUCUCAGCCCAUCCCUACAAGCACACUAGAAUCUCCAUGUUCCCCAAGGACUCACCCAUGACAGCUUAAUGUGUGAACUCCCAGCCUUUCCCCCAUUGGGUAACGGAAUUGGGCUGAGUCCAGAUUGCAACCACUUCCAAUAACAUGGUUUUUGGGAAAGCCGUUAUCUUCCAAGCCACUAUAGGUCAAAGAUAUCCACUGGAUUUGAAACAAUAAGCAACUUGCAGUUCGGGCUGUAUUUUAUAACAUUAGGAAUGAUGAAUUUAAAGAUGUUCACAUUACACAGGACCAAAUUAAGAUGGCUUUCUCCCUCUUGCGAUGUGCCUCAGCCGUGAUAGUGACCAGCUUGGAGUUUACAGUUACAGUAUAGUCUUUGCCAGAGACAAUCUUUGGUGUUCUAAGGAAAAGGCUGCCAUGUUGGAGAUCCAUCAUCUCGCCCUUCAAUUUGUCUUCCAUGACAUCAACAAGAGCAAGUUCACCUGCCAAGUCCUUCAUUAAGAUACCGAUGGCACAGGCCAUGCCAAGAGCACCAACCCCAACAACUGUAAUCUUAUUCUGGAGGAUCUGUUCUUCCUUUAGAAGACUGUGAAUAAGCUGAUCCUUGAGCAUAUACUUGAGAGUAUAU